rnacentral:pre_miRNA from 1 species
UUGUCCUCUGGAGUUCCCUUGACCACUUCACUGGAGGUUUCUUGGAGUACCCUUGGCUGGGAAAUUGGAUCCUCAUUCACUGAAGUGUUUGGGGGAACUCUGGUGGCCAU